UACGGAGGGUGCAAGCGUUAUCCGGAUUCACUGGGUUUAAAGGGCGCGUAGGCGGCACGGCAAGUCAGGAGUGAAAGGCCUGGGCUCAACCGAGGAACUGCUUUUGAGACUGCCGAGCUAGAGUGCAGAAGGGGCAACUGGAAUUCCCAGUGUAGCGGUGAAAUGCGUAGAUAUUGGGAAGAACACCUGAGGCGAAGGCGGGUUGCUGGGCUGACACUGACGCUGAGGCGCGAAAGCCAGGGGAGCAAACGGG
rnacentral:rRNA from 1 species